CUCGUAGUUGGAUUUCUGGUGAGAGCGAUCGGUCCGACGCUUAGCGUGGGUACUUGCAUCGUCUCUGGCCAUCCUUGGGGAGAGUCUGUCUGGCAUUAAGUUGUCGGGCAGAGGAUCCUCAUCGUUUACUGUGAAAAAAUUAGAGUGUUCAAAGCAGGCUUAUGCCGUUGAAUAUAUUAGCAUGGAAUAAUAAGAUAGGACUUUGGUACUAUUUUGUUGGUUUGCGCACCAAAGUAAUGAUUAAUAGGGACAGUUGGGGGUAUUCGUAUUUCGUUGUCAGAGGUGAAAUUCUUGGAUUUACGAAAGACGAACUACUGCGAAAGCAUUUACCAA
rnacentral:rRNA from 1 species